CCUACGGGUGGCUGCAGUGGGGAAUAUUGGACAAUGGGGGAAACCCUGAUCCAGCAAUGCCGCGUGUGUGAAGAAGGCCUGCGGGUUGUAAAGCACUUUCGGUUGGGAAGAAAAGUUUGGCGCCAAUACCGCCGAACCUUGACGUUACUGACAGAAGAAGCACCGGCUAACUCUGUGCCAGCAGCCGCGGUAAUACAGACGGAGCAACUGUUCGUCGGAAGUGCGUAGGGUAUCACGUGCGUCGGUUGUGAAAUCCCCGGGCUUAACCUGGGAACUGCAUUCGAUACUACAUGGCUAGAGUAUGGUAGAGGGAAGUGGAAUUUCCGGUGUAGCGGUGAAAUGCGUAGAUAUCGGAAGGAACACCAAUGGCGAAGGCAGCUUCCUGGACUAAUACUGACACUGAGGCACGAAAGCGUGGGUAGCAAACAGGAUUAGAUACCCGUGUAGUC
rnacentral:rRNA from 1 species